CGGAACUACAAGUGAUCACAGUGCACACCGCGUUACAGUCAAUCGCUACAUUUCAGCUAGUCAAACACGCACUCACAGAGAUACAUACCCUACCUAACUCACUUAUCUUACAACAGUAGGCAAGAACGCAAACCUAACGUGGCGAGCAUCCAUUUAGUCAUCAACGUAGGCUUACUACUUGCACUGGAACCGUAGGCUGGCAACGUUAACACUUCAAGACAACAAGAAAAUUGAAAGUGUUGAUAAGAGAUAAGUGUUACACGGACCCUCCACCACCAGGCUGCUAAACUGCUUCCUGCCACAGCAGCGCAGCAGAAGAUCCUCCACCACCAGGGGCGCUAGCGCAGCAGAAGAUCCUCCACCACCAGGGGCGCUAGCGCAGCAGAAGAUCCUCCACCACCAGGGGCGCUAGCGCAGCAGAAGAUCCUCCACCACCAGGCUGCUAAACUGCUUCCUGCCACAAGCUGCCACUCUACAUCCACACACACAACACACUUUUUAACAUCUGUUGCACUUUAUGUAUUUUAUCAGAGAAUACUAUAUUUAUUUAUACCUACACUUGUUUCAUUCUAGCUGUUAGCAUGGGGAAUGAAAGAAGGAAUUAAUGAAUUAAUGUAUGAAUUGAAUUAAUGUAUGAGGUGUGAAAAAAUCUAGAUCUUGAACUUGAUCUCAGAGAAUCUUGUCUUGUUGUUACCCUGGUAUGAACAAAAUGACAAUAAAGUUCGAUUUGAUUUGA